UACAGAGGUCUCAAGCGUUGUUCGGAUUCAUUGGGCGUAAAGGGUGCGUAGGCGGCGCGGUAAGUCGGGUGUGAAAUCUCGGAGCUUAACUCCGAAACUGCAUUCGAUACUGCCGUGCUUGAGGACUGGAGAGGAGACUGGAAUUUACGGUGUAGCGGUGAAAUGCGUAGAUAUCAGGAGGAACACCCGUGGCGAAGGCGGCUCUCUAUCUCGAUUCUGACGCUGAGGCGCGAAAGCUAGGGGAGCAAACGGG
rnacentral:rRNA from 1 species